CACGUAUGUAACCUACCUUUAUCAGGGGGAUAGCCUCUCGAAAGAGAGAUUAAGCCCGCAUAAUAUGAAGACACAGCAUUGUGAUUUCAUCAAAUAUUUAUAGGAUAAAGAUGGGCAUGCGGAACAUUAGCUAGUUGGUAAGGUAACGGCUUACCAAGGCUACGAUGUUUAGGGGAUCUGAGAGGAUGACCCCCCACACUGGUACUGAGACACGGACCAG
rnacentral:rRNA from 1 species